CCUACGGGUGGCAGCAGUGGGGAAUAUUGCACAAUGGGGGAAACCCUGAUGCAGCGACGCCGCGUGAGUGAGGAAGUAUUUCGGUAUGUAAAGCUCUAUCAGCAGGGAAGAAAAUGACGGUACCUGACUCAGAAGCCCCGGCUAACUACGUGCCAGCAGCCGCGGUAAUACGUAGGGGGCAAGCGUUAUCCGGAUUUACUGGGUGUAAAGGGAGCGUAGACGGAAUUGCAAGUCUGAUGUGAAAAUCCGGGGCCCAACCCCGGAACUGCAUUGGAAACUGUAUUUCUAGAGUGUCGGAGAGGCAAGUGGAAGUCCUGGUGUAGCGGUGAAAUGCGUAGAUAUCAGGAGGAACACCAGUGGCGAAGGCGGCCUGCUGGACUGAAACUGACGUUGAGGCUCGAAAGCGUGGGGAGCAAACAGGAUUAGAUACCCCUGUAGUC
rnacentral:rRNA from 1 species